AAAUCACACUGAAAACACCGGUUCUCGUUCGAUCACCGAAGUUAAGCAGCGUCGAACCCGGUUAGUUAUUAGAUGAAGGACCGCUUGGGACCACCAGGUACU